rnacentral:rRNA from 1 species
UGGGGAGCAAACAGGAUUAGAUACCCUGGUAGUCCACGCCGUAAACGAUGAUUACUAGGUGUGGGGGGACUGACCCCUUCCGUGCCGCAGUUAACACAAUAAGUAAUCCACCUGGGGAGUACGACCGCAAGGUUGAAACUCAAAGGAAUUGACGGGGGCCCGCACAAGCAGUGGAGUAUGUGGAUUAAUUCGAAGCAACGCGAAGAACCUUACCAGGUCUUGACAUCGUAUGCAUAGCUCAGAGAUGAGUGAAAUCUCUUCGGAGACAUAUAGACAGGUGGUGCAUGGUUGUCGUCAGCUCGUGUCGUGAGAUGUUGGGUUAAGUCCCGCAACGAGCGCAACCCUUACUGUUAGUUGCUACGCAAGAGCACUCUAGCAGGACUGCCGUUGACAAAACGGAGGAAGGUGGGGAUGACGUCAAAUCAUCAUGCCCCUUAUGACCUGGGCCUCACACGUACUACAAUGGCUGUUAACAGAGGGAUGCAAAGCCGCAAGGUGGAGCGAACCCCUAAAAGCAGUCUUAGUUCGGAUUGUAGGCUGCAACCCGCCUACAUGAAGUCGGAAUUGCUAGUAAUCGCAGAUCAGCAUGCUGCGGUGAAUACGUUCCCGGGCCUUGUACACACCGCCCGUCACGCCAUGGGAGUCGGUAACACCCGAAGCCUGUAGUCUAACCGCAAGGAGGACGCAGUCGAAGGUGGGAUUGAUGACUGGGGUGAAGUCGUAACAAGGUAGCCGUAUCGGAAGGUGCGGCUG